GACCGGGCCUAAGUUCCCUGGA
rnacentral:snRNA from 1 species